AUUGAACGCUGGCGGCAGGCCUAACACAUGCAAGUCGAACGAGUGGCGGACGGGUGAGUAAUGUCUGGGAAACUGCCUGAUGGAGGGGGAUAACUACUGGAAACGGUAGCUAAUACCGCAUACCAUCGGAUGUGCCGAGAUGGGAGUAGCUAGUCGGUGGGGUAAAGGCUCCCCUAGGCGACGAUCCCUAGCUGGUCUGAGAUGAUGACCAGCAACACUGGAACUUGGACACUGUCCAGACUCCGAAGGGAGGCAGCAGUGGGGAAUAUUGCACAAUGUGCGCAAGCCGGAUGCGGCCAGUCCGCUUGUAUGAAGAAGGCCUGCGUGUUUUAAAGUACUUUCAGCGGGGAGGCGUUACCCGCAGAGGACGCACCGGCUAACGCCGGGCCAGCAGCCGCGGUAAUAC
rnacentral:rRNA from 1 species